UUUCCGUAGGUGAACCCGCGGAAGGAUCAUUACAGUAGUCACCCAGGUUGCCGCAAGGCCUCCUGGGUAACCUACCACCCUUUGUUUAUUACACUUUGUUGCUUUGGCAAGCCUGCCCUCGGGCUGCUGGCUCCGGCCGGCGAGCGCUUGCCAGAGGACCUAAACUCUGUUUGUCUAUACUGUCUGAGUACUAUAUAAUAGUUAAAACUUUCAACAACGGAUCUCUUGGUUCUG
rnacentral:misc_RNA from 1 species